UCGCGAAUUAUUCCGCAAAAGGAAAGAGUCCUCUUCGUUAGAGUGUCGAUCGUCGGUCCCCCGUAAAAAUAACCAGGCAAAAGUCUCACGAAUUACGAAACGAGGGAACGUUUCUCUCUCUCUCUCUGUCUGUGUUUUGUUCGUUCCCUCCAUCCCAUUUGAAAAACUCACCACUCAUCACAUUACUCUCUUCCAUCUGCGUCAUUUAUCAUUAUAUAUAUUUCCUGUUUCUAUAAAUUUGAAAUCCCCUGCCGACCUCUCUUCCUCUCUUGGAAAAUUUUCUCAAACGAUCAUAUUGAGGAAUAAUAGAUAAUUGACGCAGAAGAGAGGUAAUUCGUCGAAACGCCGAACUUCUCGAAAUUCUUCAAUGUUAUUUUUACUUCUUGCAGAUUUCUUCACUGAUUUGAUCCUUAGAUUCUGAAAACCCUAGUUUAUAGGGUUUUUAGGGUUUCGAACACUCCUCAAUGCUGCUGGUGGCAUGAUGAAUCGGGAACAAGCCUCGGAGUGUGGUGGUUGUGACUCCGAGGACAGAUGGAUACUCCACAAUGUCCGCCAUCGAGGUAUAUACCGUCGAUUGUGCACUUCCUGUGUUUUGAAAUUUCAUGGCGGGUUAUUCUGUCCUCACUGUUAUGAGGUUUACGAAGGAUCUAUCCCUCCCCAUGAACGCGUUUUGUGUUUGAAAUGCCCUUCGGUUGCACACUUGGCUUGUGUUGGCUUGGAUAAGGCUUCUCGAUAUGUUUGUCCUCCUUGUUUGAAUUCAAGUUUUUUGUUUUUUGACGUCCCUAAGAAGACUAAAGGUGGUGACGGAAAAUCAGUUUCUGCGACUGUUAAGCGUGCAUUUGACCAGAAAUCCGCCAAGGUUCUUCUUGCUUCUGCUCGCAUAGCUGCUGUCUCUAUGAGUAAAGCUGCAGCUGCUGCUAGGAUUGAGGCGGAGAAGAGAGUAAAAGAAGCUGCUUUGACAAAGAAAAGAGCAAGAGAGGCAUUGGAACGAGUUGCUUUCCUCGUAGGCAAAGAGAAAGAGAGGGGUAAAGAGAUGACUUUGGUCCCUCGUUCAGUCCCAGUGUCGGAGCAGAGGAAGAAAUCAAAAGGGUAUAGUGCCGUUGCGGCUACAGUUGCAGCUCAUAAACGGAUUCAAGAUAACCUGAAGGCUGGCGGAAAUGAUAAACCUGGAGGUAUUCCGGUAAAUUUGAAUAAUAAUAUUGCUUCAAGAGAAAAAGAUAGGUGGGCAAGGAUCCGCCCUCCAAGUGUGGUGCAAAUGCUUCCUAAGAAUGGCAUUUCCGUUGACGACAGAGAUAAACAAAAAGCUUCUUCUGCUCCUGUUAUUGUGCGCCAACAACUUCAAAAUACUGAUGCGGUGAACGAACAUGACAGGUCGGGCAGUAUAUCUAAUUUUCAAAGCCAUACUAUGCAAAGGGAGAAGGGGAACAAUGGGAUAUGUUCGGUUCCUGCAGUUGUGGGACAGCAUCAGAACCCUCCAAAGAGUAAUGGUUUGGAAGAGGAUAAAGGAAAGUCAAGUUGAUUUGCAGAUUCUGAGAUGGGUCCACGAUUACCUAAGUCAAAUCAAGAUACAUUGGCUGCGAAGACAAAUUCAGGUGUUGUACUGACAGGAUCAUUAAAUGCUGCAUGCUAGCUUCUGUGGCAAGAAGCAGUUUUGUGAGACCCAGGAUGGCUGGAUCGUUUGACCUGCGAUUAUGCCCCAACAGCGGUCCUGCAACAGGCUGUGCUUGUUUCAGACAUGUAAUAUAAGCUAUACAUAUAAGUUGAAUAGUUGAUGUGAUAUAUAUGCAGUAUUUUUUUUUUCUUUUCUUUUUCUAAUGAGGUGAUUCUCAUCCUUAAAUGUUUAAUAAUCUAUUAGAAUAUUGCCCUGAUGUAUGAGGUAUUGCAUCAAAGCAGUAUGCUAACAAGCUUCCUUAACUCUUUUUGAGACUUUUA